GACGAACGCUGGCGGCGUGCUUAACACAUGCAAGUCGAACGGAAAGGCCCUGCUUUUGUGGGGUGCUCGAGUGGCGAACGGGUGAGUAACACGUGAGUAACCUGCCCUUGACUUUGGGAUAACUUCAGGAAACUGGGGCUAAUACCGGAUAGGAGCUCCUGCUGCAUGGUGGGGGUUGGAAAGUUUCGGCGGUUGGGGAUGGACUCGCGGCUUAUCAGCUUGUUGGUGGGGUAGUGGCUUACCAAGGCUUUGACGGGUAGCCGGCCUGAGAGGGUGACCGGCAACAUUGGGACUGAGAUACGGCCCAGACUCCUACGGGAGGAAGCAGUCGGGAAUAUUGCACAAUGGGCGGAAGCCUGAUGCAGAAACCCCGCGUGCGGGAUGUCGGCCUUCGGGUUGUACACCGCUUUCGCCUGUGACGAAGCGAGAGUGACGGUAAUGGGUAAAGAAGCACCGGCUAACUACGUG
rnacentral:rRNA from 1 species